UUUGCAUUACAUUAUAUCUGGUCCUCCAGAGACGGCUGGCAGGCAACAGGCUGGAAUGUCAGAGACCGCUUUGUGCUUGGGAUCCUGAUGCGAACGCCACU